CAUCAAGCAAGCCCAAGUUGCCUAAAGCAGAGGAUGCAAGAAAGGAGGGCACACCAGUGUCCCCCGUGGUAUCUCAGACGGCUCCUUCCUUGAAGCAUCCCACUGGAUUGAGACAUUCUCGUGAAACUACAGACAUAGAGAUGAAGGGUGCCAGGAAGAAGGAUGUCAAGACUAUUACAUCAG